AAUCUUAAUGGUAGUUUGUUGAAACAAAACUUCAUAAUACAUGCUGGGAAGCUUACUCUGAUAAACCAUUGUUAAACGGAAUCUCAGUUGAUGCUUGGACAUAAGGAGAAGUGUCGGUGACUCUGAAACAAAAGGGAAAGCUGUGUGUGUUGUGUUGUGUUGUGGCUGUGUAGUAGGAAGAUGGAUGAGCUACAAUGAUAAAUUUUAGUUUUUUUUAUGACAGAAUUCAUCCAUAAUCAGUUAACUUGAUUGGGGAAAAGUUUAGCAACCCAGAGUAGGAAAGUGUAUUUAUCUUAUUGUUGAUGACUGAAUUUUGACUUCUAGAAGGACAUUUAUUCAAGGUAUCCCCAUUACAGUACAAAAGAGAUAAAUUUAAUCAAGGAUAUGCUGAGACACCCAGAGUUACUGUAUCUCACAGAAGCUGUGUAACACAACGUUCUGUGUCUGUUACACAAGACUUGAGAAUAAUUUACAACCUAGUACACAGUCUUUGUAUUCAGCUUUGUGCUUUUAGUAUUACUGUCCACAAUUAUUUUGCUAAUUUGGUGUUUAAUAUGCCAAUUGUCACAUGAACUUUACAAAGGCCACAAUUUGGAAAGUAUCUUAACCAUAUGCUUAACUUUAUUGUUCUAAUUCAAUUAGUGUAGUGCUUGUGAAUAACUUGUUGAAAAGUAAUUUCAGCACAUAGAAGUACAUUCAUGGAAUGAUCUAGUAAAGAAGCACUUAGUACCCAAAGCAAUAUACUGGCAAUAUGAGUUGUAAUGGUAUAUUGUGCAAACAAACUAGGCUCAGUCAGUGCAGAUUAAGGAUAUAAAAUUGGGGUUUGAAUGGAUGCCAAGAUUCACCUUGGAUCUGUAUAUAU